UUGAACGCUGCGCCUUGCCAGCCUCACUGUCAUCCUGCCUGGCUCCCCAAGCCUGUUCCUCCCAGCACUGGCUUCUCGCCACAAGAGGGUUUGGCAAGACCUUCUUCCUGCCAUACCACUAAUGAUUGCUCUCUGGCUCCCCAGGACCCACAGCAAGAGUCUCUCAGUGAGUUGUUGUUGAACGAACAAGAGAAUAAACAAAUGCACGAACAAA